rnacentral:rRNA from 1 species
GACGAACGCUGGCGGCGUGCUUAACACAUGCAAGUCGAACGGAAAGGCCCUGCUCUUGUGGUAUUCUCGAGUGGCGCGCGGGUGUGUAACACGUGUGUAACCUCCCCUUGACUUUGGGAUAUCUUCACGAAACUGGGGCUAAUACCGCAUAGGAGCUCCUGCUGCAUGGUGGGGGUUGGAGAGUUUCGGCGGUGGGGUAUGGACUCGCGGCUUAUCCGCUUGUUGGUGGGGUAGUGGCUUACCAAGGCUUGGACGGGUAGCCGGCCUGAGAGGGUGACCGGCAACAUGGGGACUGAGAUAGGGCCCAGACUCCAACGGGAGGCAGCAGGGGGAAAUAUUGCAAAAGGGGCGGAAGCCUGUGCCGGAAAGCCCGGGUGCGGAAUGCCGGCUUUUGGGUGGAAAACCGCUUUGGCCUGAACCGAAGCGUGAGUGACGGUACUGGGUAAAGAAGCACCGGCUAACUACGUG